rnacentral:rRNA from 1 species
GAUGAACGCUAGCUACAGGCUUAACACAUGCAAGUCGAGGGGAAACGAUAUUGGAAGCUUGCUUCCGAUAGGCGUCGACCGGCGCACGGGUGAGUAACGCGUAUCCAACCUGCCCAUCACUUGGGGAUAACCUUGCGAAAGUAAGACUAAUACCCAAUGACGUCUCUAGAAGACAUCUGAAAGAGAUUAAAGAUUUAUCGGUGAUGGAUGGGGAUGCGUCUGAUUAGCUUGUUGGCGGGGUAACGGCCCACCAAGGCGACGAUCAGUAGGGGUUCUGAGAGGAAGGUCCCCCGACAUUGGAACUGAG